UUAAAACAUCUAAGAGUUGGUUUGUUUCAUCACCAUUAAGGCGGCGCUUACUAUGAUGGGACAAUUUAAUUCUUCAUCCAAAAACUCAUACCUUAGAUUCUUAAGUAGCUCUUUAAGCUCUAUUGAUGGUUUCUUAGGACAUGGCAUAUGGUUCGGGGUGAGUGCUAAGCAUUCGUGAAGGUUGUCAUCUAUAUAAGGGUCUUUAA
rnacentral:lncRNA from 1 species